rnacentral:rRNA from 1 species
AAUAGAUACCCGGGUAGUCCAUGCCGUAAACGUUGGGAACUAGAUGUGGGGGACCAUUCCACGGUCUCCGUGUCGCAGCUAACGCAUUAAGUUCCCCGCCUGGGGAGUACGGCCGCAAGGCUAAAACUCAAAGGAAUUGACGGGGGCCCGCACAAGCGGCGGAGCAUGCGGAUUAAUUCGAUGCAACGCGAAGAACCUUACCAAGGCUUGACAUAUACCGGAAAGGUCUGGAAACAGUCCCCCCGCAAGGUCGGUAUACAGGUGGUGCAUGGUUGUCGUCAGCUUGUGUCGUGAGAUGUUGGGUUAAGUCCCGCAACGAGCGCAACCCUCGUCUUAUGUUGCCAGCGGUUCGGCCGGGGACUCAUAAGAGACUGCCGGGGUCAACUCGGAGGAAGGUGGGGAUGAGGUCAAAUCAGUCAUGCCCCUUAUGUCUUGGGCUUCACGCAUGCUACAAUGGCCGGUACAAAGGGCUGCAAUACCGCGAGGUGGAGCGAAUCCCAAAAGCCGGUCUCAGUUCGGAUUGAGGUCUGCAACUCGACCCCAUG